rnacentral:rRNA from 1 species
GAUUAACGCUAGCGGCAGGCAUAAUACAUGCAAGUUGAACGAGAUAAGUUUUAGCAAUAGAACUUUGAAAGUGGCGCACGGGUGCGUAACACGUAUGCAACCUACCUUUUACUGGGGAAUAGCCUCUCGAAAGAGAGAUUAAUACCCCAUAAUAUAUUGAUGAGGCAUCUUAUUAAUAUUAAAGUUACGGCGGUAAAAGAUGGGCAUGCGGCUGAUUAGGUAGUUGGUGAGGUAAUGGCUCACCAAGCCGACGAUCAGUAGGGGGUCUGAGAGGAUGUCCCCCCACACUGGUACUGAGACACGGAUCAGACUCCUACGGGAGGCAGCAGUAGGGAAUAUUGGACAAUGGGCGCAAGCCUGAUCCAGCCAUGCCGCGUGCAGGAUGAAGGCCCUAUGGGUCGUAAACUGCUUUUGUACGGGAAGAAACCUCACUACGUGUAGUGAGUUGACGGUACCGUGAGAAUAAGGAUCGGCUAACUUCGUGCCAGCCGCCGCUGUAA